GUGAACAGGUCUGAGACCAAGUGAACAGGUAACUCUGUGAGUUACCUGGCCAGGCACUGUUGCAAUGCAGCUCAGACAGAGGAACUGUGAAGUCUCCCCCCCAUACUUCUUCUCCCUCAUGAAUUCUGUGUGAAGUGAUAGUUUAUCCUGGAGAAUCCUAUGCAACCGAUACAACUUCAUUACUUUGAGGCAGGUGUUGAAACCAUCUCAGAAUGCAUGGAGAAGUGCAACCAUAAAGCAGAUGAGAAAAGUGAUCUCCUCACCUCUCCUCCAUCCAAGAACAUGGGGCAGGACCAGCAGGGCAGAGCCAGCUUAAAUGAGUUUCUCAGAGAAGAUGCACCUAUUGGGUAGCAUUGCCUGAAAAUACAGUGCUGCCUUCUAGGCUCUCCUUUCCCAAACCUGCAGUGUUAGAAAUAUAACAAUCUCUUGCUGUUUGCUGAUUGCAAAAUAUUUUUGGAGUUUGAGGUUUUUUUGGUCUAGGUUUUAACAAUUCUAUUGGUCAUUGUGCAUAUUUAGUCCUCCCUAACACAUGUUAGGAUAAAAGCAGUGUUAACCAUUCACAACUAAUGACAAAUUGAAAUUUGGGGGUUGACAAUGCAUUUUCUGUGAAAGAGAAGAAUUUUCUAUGGCCUGUCUUAUGCAACAUUAUAGUAUCAAAUAAAGACACAAAUCUGA